rnacentral:rRNA from 1 species
CCUACGGGUGGCUGCAGUGAGGAAUAUUGGUCAAUGGGCGCGAGCCUGAACCAGCCAAGUAGCGUGAAGGAUGACUGCCCCACGGGUUGUAAACUUCUUUUAUAAAGGAAUAAAGUGAGGCACGUGUGCCUUUUUGUAUGUACUUUAUGAAUAAGGUUCGGCUAACUCCGUGCCAGCAGCCGCGGUAAUACGGAGGAACCGAGCGUUAUCCGGAUUUCUUGGGAUUAAAGGGAGCGUAGAUGGGUUGUUAAGUCAGUUGUGAAAGUUUGCGGCUCAACCGUAAAAUUGCAAUUGAUACUGGCAGUCUUGAGUACAGUUGAGGUAGGUGGAAGUCGUGGUGUAGCGGUGAAAUGCUUAGAUAUCACGAAGAACUCCGAUUGCGAAGGCAGCUUACUAAACUGCCACUGACAUUGAUGCUCGAAAGUGUGGGUAUCAAACAGGAGUAGAUACCCCUGUAGUC